AACGCACGAGACCUGCGGACCUGCGGAAGGAUCAUUACAUGGCGGAGGAGGUGGGCACCUAGUAAAAACAAAACCCUAGGUGUGUUGCCUACCACGCUUUCUACCCUUGUCUAUUUGCACCUUUUGUCGUUCCCUCGGUGGGUCUUGAACCUGCCGGCGGCAACUUUCAAAAACCUUUUGUAGUUAGUAUCUAAUUCUUCUGAUCAAAUAUUCAAUCGUUACAACUUUCAACAACGGAUC
rnacentral:misc_RNA from 1 species